rnacentral:rRNA from 1 species
ACGGAAGGCAGCAGUGGGGAAUAUUGCACAAUGGGCGAAAGCCUGAUGCAGCGACGCCGCGUGAGUGAAGAAGUAUCUCGGUAUGUAAAGCUCUAUCAGCAGGGAAGAAAAUGACGGUACCUGACUAAGAAGCCCCGGCUAACUUUGUGCCAGCAGCCGCGGUAAUACGUAGGGGGCAAGCGUUAUCCGGAUUUACUGGGUGUAAAGGGAGCGUAGACGGUUUGGCAAGUCUGAAGUGAAAUGCGGGGGCUCAACUCCUGAACUGCUUUGGAAACUGUCGAACUAGAGUGCAGGAGGGGUAAGUGGAAUUCCUAGUGUAGCGGUGAAAUGCGUAGAUAUUAGGAGGAACACCAGUGGCGAAGGCGGCUUACUAGACUGUAACUGACGUUGAGGCUCGAAAGCGUGGGGAGCAAACAGGAUUAGAUACCCUGGUA